GUCGGUGGUCUGGAUAGCAUUUGGAGCUUCGCUAGCAACCCGGCAUUUCAUCUCCGACAAAGUUAUCCCCGAGAGAAGUAAAGCAAGUGUGUUCUGCCAAUGGGGGUGGAGUUUCAUGUCUUACCCGGUACCUCCACCUGUGAUUCAUCACCUGUAAUCAGCAGGCCGGCAUUUAAGACCAGCUCAGCCUUCGAUUUAUCGCCAUUUUGUCUGCUAUCUCCGUGGAGUAUUCAACUCACCUGCAUUAAAGAGACUCACCUCGUCUCGUCAAUGCUAGUCAACUGCCACCACGCUACUGCUCCUUCACCUGCCUGCCCUCUUGCUCGGUGCUCAGCUUAGAUCUCUGGAACAGAAGGUUGGACUCCCAAACUCACUUGCCUCGUGGUUCAGUUGGAUUCACGCUCAGUCCCCCUCCCUGAUGUCAACUUACACUCUGACCUUUAUUCAUGCCCUGAGUCUCCUGCUUCAGUUCUUCAUGUCCUUACACAUUCCUGAAUUAAAUAAAGUUGCAUUUUGUUACUAAUCCAA
ensembl:lncRNA